rnacentral:rRNA from 1 species
UACGUAGGGUCCGAGCGUUGUCCGGAAUUAUUGGGCGUAAAGGGCUCGUAGGCGGUUUGUCACGUCGGGAGUGAAAACUCAGGGCUCAACCCUGAGCGUGCUUCCGAUACGGGCAGACUAGAGGUAUGCAGGGGAGAAACGGAAUUCCUGGUGUAGCGGUGGAAUGCGCAGAUAUCAGGAGGAACACCGGUGGCGAAGGCGGUUCUCUGGGCAUUACCUGACGUGAGGAGCGAAAGCAUGGGGAGCGAACAGG